CUAGGCAGAAUAAGACAGGGGAAGACUAACUUGUCUUCAGAAACCUUACCCCUACUCCCAGAAGAAUGGAAAAGAGACUGAAAGAAAGAUCAAGGCAGACAAAAAAAGAGGAAGGGUAAAAGGCCCAACAAAAUGUUAGCCUUACAGGGAAAACGGAAGCAUGAAGCUAUGAGGACCUUCUCCUCACUAUGGCCAUUGUCACAGAUGGUGAAGCUGUGUCUGUCAUGUCCAGACCACCAGAAGUGAUGUUCUGGCUAUGAGCUGGCCCUUGGUUAUGACAGACCUGAAUUCCAGCUGAGAUCACUGGGCAUUUUGUCCAUAAAUACUGUAAGGGAAUCCUAAUUAAUAAACUUAUAUUUGGAGA